AGAUGGAGAAGUCUUAUCUCCUUCACCUCCUCCCUUCCUGCCUCCCCUCGCCGGCCCAGGCACUCAGUCCCAGCUCCCUUCCCCCCUGCUCUGAGGACACCCCCUGCUUGGUGAGGCACGGUCCUGUCCUCUCUUCUGACACAGCGGAGCCUAUGCUCUGGGGGGACUGGCUGAGUCUCCAGAGACAAAAGCCCCAGGGCACCGGGAGCCAGCUUUCACAUCCCCGCCUGUAGGACACCAUCUUCAUGUGGGGCUAACCCUGCGUUGUGAAGAGAGACCUGGACAAGAAAAUCUCUCGCUCCCGGAAGGUAUCUGUGAUGGUGUCGAUGAGAAAUGUCCCCCAUAGCUUCGGGUGUUUAGAUAUUUGGUCCUCCGUCAGUGACACUGUUUGGAGAAGUUUAGGAGGCAUGACAUUGCUGCAAGAGUUCAAGAUGUGACUCAGUUUCCUGCUCCUGCUAUGUUCCCUCUGCCGUUAUGGGCUUUAACUCUCUGGAAGUUUGGACGCCCUGCUCUGCCCAGCUUGGACACUAUUUCUGAAGAGGACAGAGGGACCUCACUCUGGGCUUUGCCAGCCUCUGGAUGUCCCCGUCACCCCCCCCCCCCCACCAGCAGAGCUCAGCUCCACUCAGCUCCAGGGGCUCCUCGAGGGCCACCUCUCUCCCGCCCCCUCCAGCACCUGGUUGGGUUUAGGUUCACCAUCUGCCCAUGGGAUCUGUGGCCUGGCUCCCUAGCCAAACUGUGAACACUUGGAAUGGGACUCCCUUUUUUUUGUCAGGAUCUGCACCAGGAGCCAUCCUAUGCCCAUGCUGGGUCCAGGUGCACCCCAGAUGACUGAUAAGUUAAUUAGACACCAUUUGCCCCACUGGAAUCCAUAUUCUUUCAUUUAUUUAUUUAACUUUUUUAAUUUUUAGGAAGGGUCUCAUUAUGUAGCCCCUGGAUAACCCAGAACUCUCUGUGUAGCCCUGGCUAGCCUGGAACUCUCUGUGUAGCCCUGGGUAGCCUGGAAUUCUCCGUGUAGACCUAGCCUUGAACUUACUUGUAGGGACAUUGCUGUCUCUGCCUCCUGGGUGCUGGGUUAGAUCUGCAGCGUGUCCACUGGCACCCCUUUUUGAAGCCAGACUAGGCACCUAUGCUCUCCUUCCGAGACCACCCACGUGACUCCUCAUGCCGUUGAGAAUGAGAUGCCUGCAAACCCCAAACCUGAGUGACGAGAAGCUUCCACAGCACGGAGCCCAACCACUCAUGUCUGGCCCCUUUUCCACAUACUCCCGGGGACAGCCCCUUGGAAGGAUGCUCCAAAAAUCGGAUGCAGACAAAGCAUUUGGGUGAACAUGGAGGAGGGUUCCAGAACAAACCUUUCUCUCCCUCUGCCUUUUGACCCCAUUUGCCCCAUGUUUCAUUGACCAGGCUUUCCGGCCGUCUCUCUCCCCAAUGGCAACCUCUCUGCUCUAGAAUGAAGCCGCUGAACUUGGACAAAUGUCACAAUGCCUAUGCCAUGACUUGCCCCAAAACACAAGGCUCUUAACCAGGAGUGAUUUCACUUCAGGCAGCAUUUGGCAGCAUAUGGGAAUGUGUUAACUCCACAAGUGCUGGGGUAGGCUGUUUCUGAUUUCGUGAGUACACUCCAGAGAUGCUCACAGACAUCCUUAUACAGGUCAGCACCCCCCCCCCAGGAAAACAUUCUCCAUCGCCAAAUGUCAGUCCUAUGCCAAGUACAACUGAUCUGUCUAGUUUGAGCCGUGAUUUGCCGCCUCGCACUCCUCAGUGCCUGGUCACUGCAAACACCGCCCAAGGGAAAUGAAGAACGGAGGGGCCAAAACAUUCCUGUCACCCUUGCUGUGACUGCACAGGGAAGCCAGGAGGCCUGGUGGUCUGGGGAACCAGUCUGCAGCGAGGCCUCCCUUUGAAACCAUCAGGUACAGGAAGGCCCUGCAUGAAAGGCUGGUGAUGAGAGACAUGUAAAGGGAGCACUUUUGUUUCUAAGCUUAGGGAGCAGGGUGGAGAAUGUCUUCACGGAGCCAAACCACACACGCCUCUAUUGGGGCGUGAAAAACACUCGAAUGAAGGCAGAAUAGCGCACCUGCCUCCACUUGCCAUGCGCGCAGCACACACACAGGGCCGCAGGAGCGAAAUGGGAAAGUGUAUUUACUUAGUGGGAACUCUCAAAUAAUGGCCCUGCCUGCCCCGGCAGGUAAGACUUGCGGUUUCAGUUGCACUUGGUCUGUUUUCAACACAGGAUAUCUCCGUUUGACAGUGUUUGAACAGAUGGUGUGCAGGCAGCACCUAUGACAGCCUCCGACCGGAUCCCAGGGUCCCAUUGUUGGCCACUCUGUGCAUAGAACGUGGAGGGCUUGAAGAUGUCACCUCUGCACUGCCUGUGUGUGACUGCUCUCCCAUCACGUGGAAACAUCUUGGAUUUACUUUACGUGUAUGAGUGUUUGCUUGCGUGCGUGUCUCUGUACCAUCUCAGGGCAGUGCCCUUGGACAGCAGAAGAGGGUGUCGGAUUCCCUGCCGCUGGACAUACAGGCCCGUGGGGAGCGGCCGCGUGGGCGCUGGGAACUGAAUCAGGGUCCUCGUAAGUGUAGCACGUGCUCUAACCACUGGGCCGUCCCUCCAGCUCCGUCCCGCCACUUACUUCGACCCACGUCACCCAAGAUUUGUGUAAAUCGUCCAGCAUGGCAGGCUCACUAAGAGCCUAAGCCACAGAGAGGACCCACUAGCAGUGUCACACAACAAAUAUGUCAGAAGGAGAUAGUCCCGGUAGUGUGCGGCGGAGUGAUGUCAUCGAGGGCCCCUGUGCUAUGCAUUUCAGGUCUCUCAGUCACUCCACAGUCAGGAGCCGCUGCUGCAGCCGCGGGCGCAGAAGAAAGUAUUGGCUGCACCUUAUGUGGUUGAUCGCCCCUUUGCCCAGCACUAUGAUGGGUUUUUCGUUUUCGUUUUUUUGUUGUUGUUGUUGCCAUUCAUUCAUUUGCUUGUUUUGAAAGUUCUAGGCAAGUCUUGGCCAUCCCAUGUCUGUCUUUUAUUAGGGGAAGGACAUAUUUCCUAGCGGUCUCAAAAUAUUCCCUCUAUGCCCUUUGUACCCAAGCUAGGUUAUGCCAGCCCAGUGGCUAGCAAAGGAGCAACUACUGCCCUCUCAAGACUUACCUAAGAGGGUAGGAAAAAGUUUCCUCCAGGCUCGCCCAACACUUAAAAUCAGAGCUCCAUCAGAAAUCGAGGAACCAAAGCACUUUAUUUGCAAGAGCGCUCAUGAGAUGAGUUAGAUUCCCUGACAUCUAAGCUAAGCCUUCCGGAUUAGAUCUUGGACACAUUAGUCACUUAUUUCUGUACUGACAGAUCCGUGUGCAGGUAAUAGCUCAGAGCUCCCAAGCAGGACACAGAACUUCCAGUGUGGGCAAUGGCUCCCAGGAUUCAGAGUUCUAGAGUUGGUGUCUUAAGACAGUAGAAGACUGCUACAGGGUCUUAAGCGGGAAAGUGAUAGGUUACAACGUAGUUUCCCAAGUCAUUCUGGCCUUAGAUGGGACACAAUAGUAACUCGCUACACUGUACCUCUUUAUGUCUUUUGGCCAUGGUCAAACAAGGUCAUGGCCCUUACCACCAGCCGUUGUUACAGAGUUGCUCUUGCACUGAGUAGUUCUCUGGGAACCCUGGUUACUUCUCAUGAGAAGGCUCCCAACACAACAGCACUAGCCCCUUACAGCCCAUUGGGUUUACUGUCUUGGUGUAUAAUCACUCCUGUCACUCUGGCUGGCAUACCACUAGCCAUGAUAGGCAGUCAGUGGGGCUCAAACUGAUGGGACCACCCAAGGUUGAAGCUUCAGCCUGCAGAAUUGUGAGUUAAAUAAGUCUCUUUUUACUUUCUAUAUUAUCUGGCCUCGGGCACUUUGUUGUGGCAAUGACAAACAUACAAGUCUAGCCCGAGUUCAUGACUCACAAGAUCAGGGACUGUAAUAAAACGAUGGUUGUUUCAA